GCGAUGGUGAUUCAGUGGUAGAAUUCUCACUUUCCACGUGGGAGACCUAGGUUUGAUUUCUGGCCAAAGUA
rnacentral:tRNA from 1 species